rnacentral:lncRNA from 1 species
GCACCAGCUCAGCUCGGCUGAGGGCUCUCAGCUAAAUCACAUCACUGUGGAGGACAAAGCAGAUGAGCAUGGCAGGAGUGCAUGUGGGAAGCAGGACUACAUCUCAAGUAUGGUGACAGAGAGAGCCGGAGGCAGCCAGGACAGGAGCAGGCAUUAAUAACAACUCACUCUCCUGAGGACUUAUGCCAGGGGACUGGUAUUCUCUUCCUAGUGUAACUUCAAAUUAUUGGACCUUAAGUGCUCUGGGAGAAAGGAAAGACAACCUUAACCACAACAGCUAAGAAUUAUGUAGCUGGAUCGACU